UCUCCUGAUCGGUUCAACCGAACUAAUCUUCCGCCGUGCCGUAAUCUUUUGUUCCUUGAUUCCACCGUUGACGGAUCGGGGCGUGCGUGGAACGACUCUCGUGAAACGUCUAACCGCGUUAUCGGGCUCUAACGAGUCUGCUGAUCGUGGCGUGAAACCGAUACGAUCCGGCACCGUGAUCACCGGGACACCGCAUUGUCGUGUAAUUCAAUAAUAAGCAAAGUUAAUUCCCAAGUCUACCGGAUCGGACAACCAGAUCCCGGAAUCCCAAUCACUCGUGCAAGUACUGUCCACAGACGACAGCCCUUUCCGGUCGGAGCACUCCGAGAGUGGGUUAUCCAAUUAGUCGUAACUCUCAGUUGAUCACAUUUUUGAAAUGAAGGCGUCGAAUAGAGCAAGGUGCAGUGUCUUGAAUGCGAAACACCACUGAAGCGUUAUCAAGCUCUCCUAGGUGUCGCGUCAUCGGGUAAUAUUUUUGAGCGAAGGCAUACACUUCUGAUGGCGGGAAUUAUCGGCGAUGUUAUAUGGUUAACACGUUUGCUGUCACGGAAACCUUCAGUUUUGUAUAUCGCUUCUUUUGUAGCAAAGAUAAAGAACAACAGUUAUUUAUUAGUUGGUAUCGAAAUGCUUACGUCAGGCUGUCAUCUGGUUAUUUAUGCUGUUAAACAUUCUUAUUCGACAUAAGGUAUCUGUUAAUUCGACUAAUUAUGUCGAUUAGAAUUUAUAUUAAAUGAACUGUUUAACAUCAUGUCUGAUUUCAAUGAUAGACUUCAUUAGCACGUUGAAUGCCGCACGAUUUCAUAGAGCAAAAUAUACAAAAUGAAAAAAUAUAAUAAGUUAUUUGAUUGAAUUGAGUUACUGUUAUUGCACGUUCAUCUAGUUGAAUAUUAUAGCAUUGGGUAGCAUUGUUUAUGAUAUAGAAAUGUUAACAAAUAAUCGUCGUUUAAUUGAAUCAACUACACUAAUUCGAUUUGGUUGAAUCACCGGUGACCCCCAUGGCAUUCAACGCGUUAAAGUGAAGAAUUGUUGUUGAGAACGAGCGUUCAAUUUAUAAAAUUGACAAUCGAUUCAAAUGUGGUAGACAGCCACAAUUAUUCGACCCCGCGGCCAUCUCGCGGACGCGGCGAAUUCUAUGCCGUGAUAAGCGGGUUGCGCUGCCGAGGCGUUGCAACCAUUAUACUUUAGAUAAAAGCUUUCGUAGACGUGGAGAAAAAUGAAACGCGAUGGUAAAAUAGUGGACGACGAAUUAUGGCGCGGGGAAAUUCGGCGGCGUCUGCGAGACAACUCAAAAUGGCGGCACAACGCAACGAUCCGAAGUAAAGCUUCAAGUCCAUUGUCUCCGCGAGCACUAUGAACGACCUCGAUUCACUCGCGGCGUAAAAUGCACGUGAGAUGCGAGCAUCUGCCUUGGAGCCUUGUUAUCUUCUACUGCCAAUAUAUCAAACUGACAAUACGUUAAAUGUUGUAUAGAUUUCGUCGGGACGUGUAUCUAUACCCGGCAAAGAAACGAGACGCUUGCAACAAGUGUCGCGGCAAAUGCGCCUUUUCUACGGCUUUGGUGUACGAUUUAAUUUUUCUCAUGGAAAGAGUUUUAGACGUUUGAUGAAUUCUUGUUUUCUGA